GACGAACGCUGGCGGCGUGCCUAACACAUGCAAGUCGAGCGAAUGAAGUUCCUUCGGGAAUGGAUUUAGCGGAGGACGGGUGAGUAACACGUGGGCAACCUGCCUCAUAGAGGGGAAUAGCCUUCCGAAAGGGAGAUUAAUACCGCAUAAGAUUGUAGUACCGCAUGGUGUAGCAAUUAAAGGAGCAAUCCGCUAUGAGAUGGGCCCGCGGCGCAUUAGAUAGUUGGUGAGGUAACGGCACACCAAGGCGACGAUGCGUAGCCGACCUGAGAGGGUGAUCGGCCACACAGGGACUGAGAAGCGGCCCAGACUCCUACGGGAGGCAGCAGUGGGGAAUAUUGCAAAAUGGGGGAAACCCUGAUGCAGCAACGCCGCGUGAGUGAUGACGGCCUGCGGGUUGUAAAGCUCUGUCUUCAGGGACGAUAAUGACGGUACCUGAGGAGGAAGCCACGGCUAACUACGUGCCAGCCGCCGCAGUAA
rnacentral:rRNA from 1 species